GAUGAACGCUGGCGGCGUGCUUAACACAUGCAAGUCGAACGGACUUGUUGGAGCUUGCUCCAACAGGUUAGUGGCGGACGGGUGAGUAACGCGUGGGUAACCUGCCCUAUGCAGGGGGGACAACACCGGGAAACUGGUGCUAAUACCGCAUAACAUACGAGAUUCGCAUGAAUCUUGUAUCAAAGAUUUAUCGGCAUAGGAUGGACCCGCGUUGGAUUAGCUAGUUGGUGAGAUAACAGCCCACCAAGGCAACGAUCCAUAGCCGGCCUGAGAGGGUGAACGGCCACACUGGGACUGAGACACGGCCCAGACUCCUACGGGUGGCUG
rnacentral:rRNA from 1 species